rnacentral:rRNA from 1 species
AUAUCAUUAAGCGGAGGAAAAGAAACUAACCAGGAUUCCCUCAGUAACGGCGAGUGAAGUGGGAAGAGCUCAAGUUUUAAAUCUGGGGGGUUUCCUCUCCGAAUUGUAACUAUAGAGGCGUUUUUCUGUGGCUGGAGCGGUAAAAGUGUCUUGGAAAAGGCCAUCAAAGAGGGUGAGAAUCCCGUUUUGACCGCUUGUUCAGGCUGCUGUAUGAUACGCUUUCUACGAGUCGAGUUGUUUGGGAAUGCAGCUCAAAAUGGGUGGUAAAUUUCAUCUAAAGCUAAAUAAUGGCAAGAGACCGAUAGCGCACAAGUA